rnacentral:rRNA from 1 species
GAUGAACGCUAGCGGCAGGCCUAAUACAUGCAAGUCGAACGGUCCACUUCGGUGGAUAGUGGCGCACGGGUGCGUAACACGUAUGCAACCUACCUUACAUUGGGGGAUAGCCUUUCGAAAGGGAGAUUAAUACCACAUAAGACAGUAACAUGGCAUCAUGUAGCUGUUAAAGAUUUAUCGAUGUAAGCUGGGCAUGCGUCCAAUUAGUUAGUUGGUGAGGUAAUGGCUCACCAAGACGAUGAUUGGUAGGGGAACUGAGAGGUCAAUCCCCCCCACUGGCACUGAGAUACGGGCCAGACUCCUACGGGAGGCAGCAGUAGGGAAUAUUGGGCAAUGGACGCAAGUCUGACCCAGCCAUGCCGCGUGCAGGAAGAAGGCGUUCUGCGUUGUAAACUGCUUUUAUAUAGGAAGAAACGACCCUUGCGAGGGGCAUUGGCGGUAUUAUAUGAAUAAGCACCGGCUAACUCCGUGCCAGCCGCCGCGGUAAAAC